rnacentral:rRNA from 1 species
UACGUAGGGGGCAAGCGUUGUCCGGAUUUAUUGGGCGUAAAGAGCGUGUAGGCGGUUCGGUAGGUCCGUUGUGAAAACUCGAGGCUCAACCUCGAGACGCCGAUGGAAACCCCCGAACUAGAGUCCGGAAGAGGAGAAUGGAAUUCCUGGUGUAGCGGUGAAAUGCGCAGAUAUCAGGAGGAACACCGGUGGCGAAGGCGGGUCUCUGGGCCGAUACUGACGCUGAGGAGCGAAAGCGUGGGGAGCGAACAGG